rnacentral:rRNA from 1 species
AACAUGUCUAUAUGAAAUUAAUAUAAAGUCUAGCCUGCCCACUGAGUUUUAAAGGGCUGCGGUAAUUUGACCGUGCAAAGGUAGCAUAGUCAGUAGUCUUCUAAUUGUAGGCUGGAAUGAAUGGCUGGAUGAGAGAAUGACUGUCUCUUAGUUAAAGUGAAAUUUGACUUUUAAGUGAAAAGGCUUAAAUAUCUUGAGGGGACGAUAAGACCCUAUAAAACUUAAUAUAGAGCUGUCUUUGUUUUAAAUUUUAAAAUAAAAUUGUAAAGUUAAUUUUAUAUUUUGUUGGGGAGACAUUGAUAUAAGUAGUAACUGUCUGUUAAAAAUUAUAAUUAUAUUUAGUUUUUGAUCCUUCUUUGUGGAUUAAAAGAGUAAGUUACUUUAGGGAUAACAGCGUGAUUUUUUCUAAGAGUUCUUAUCGAAGAAAGUAGUUGCGACCUCGAUGUUGAAUUAAAAUUUCUUUUAGGUGUAGCCGCUUAAGUAGAAGGUCUGUUCGACCUUUAAAUUUUUACAUGAUUUGAGUUCAAACCGGUGUGAGCCA